rnacentral:RNase_P_RNA from 2 species
GCCAGAACCAAAGCCGCGAUACUCCCCACGAACCAGGAUGCCAGAUUCAUUCGUUUCUGCGCGUCCACAUCUGGGAGUGGGCUAAGGUCUGAGAAUUCUAAUCUCCCUCGAUCGACUCUAGCCGGGUCCGACGUACAACAGUCGCAACGACGUACAAGCAAACGCCUCCCGAAUUCAUUCCUUUGUUGCCUGGAGAUCGUGUUCCGACACGGGAGGGCCUUGAAUGGAAACGGGAUUGGAAUCGUCGUGGAGAUCGAGGUCAUCAAAGUGGCACCUCCAAUGUAGGAGGCGCAGAUCCUGAUGACCUCUUUAGUGCACUUCGCGGCUCGUCUUGUUCGCAAGAAUGAGACGAAACUCGAUUCAGACUACUCUGGUUCUGGC